rnacentral:rRNA from 1 species
UACGUAGGAGACGAGCGUUGUCCGGAGUUACUGGGCGUAAAGGGUGCGCAGGUGGCGGCGCGCGUGGGGGGUGAAAUCGCCCGGCUUAACUGGGCGGGGGCCUUCCAGACGGCGUGGCUUGAGCAGCGGAGGGGGACGUGGAAUUCCGGGUGUAGCGGUGGAAUGCGUAGAGAUCCGGAGGAAGACCGGUGGCGAAGGCGGUCUGCUGGGCAGAUACUGACGCUGAGGUACGAAAGCGUGGGGAGCAAACAGG